rnacentral:rRNA from 1 species
GACGGGACCGCACAAGCGGUGGAUGAUGUGGUUUAAUUCGAUGCAACGCGAAAACCUUACCACCUUUGACAUGUACGGAACCCUUUAGAGAUAGAGGGGUGCUCGAAAGAGAGCCGUAACACAGGUGCUGCAUGGCUGUCGUCAGCUCGUGUCGUGAGAUGUUGGGUUAAGUCCCGCAACGAGCGCAACCCUUAUCAUUAGUUGCUACGCAAGGGCACUCUAAUGAGACUGCCGGUGACAAACCGGAGGAAGGUGGGGAUGACGUCAAGUCCUCAUGGCCCUUAUGGGUAGGGCUUCACACGUCAUACAAUGGUCGGUACAGAGGGUUGCCAAGCCGCGAGGUGGAGCCAAUCCCAGAAAGCCGAUCGUAGUCCGGAUUGUUCUCUGCAACUCGAGAGCAUGAAGUCGGAAUCGCUAGUAAUCGCGGAUCAGCAUGUCGCGGUGAAUACGUUCCCGGGCCUU